CAAAGCAGAAAAAUAUUAACAGUGUCUUGUCGAUUGUCAUAACAUAAAUUUCUGUCAUUGGUUAGCCUAUGAUUCGUAAACUGUAAUGCAAAAAGCUCAAGUUAGCUUUAACAAAGUAAAAGACCAAGUUAACUUUAACAAAAUAGACUAUUACUACGUUUUUUAAGUUAAAAAAUCUUUAUUAUUAUAUUUUUAAUUGGAAGUUAAUGAGAUAAUACAUAAAUAAUUUCCUCCAAAUGCUUAAAAUUGACUGCUUAGACUGGAAAAUAUUCAAAAUGAAAAGAAUCUAUAAGUGCAUAUAUUUGAAAAGAGAACUAGAUUUUAUGCCAUGUCAUAGUUCUUAAAGCAAGACAAGAUUGAGAUUCAUAGGCUUUUCAGUUCAGACUUACAUCAAAUAAAAUGUUUUAAACAAAAUAACUGCUGACUAAGAGGAAAGAAUUUAUAUGUGUCGUCUUUGCAUUUUAGCAUCCACUAAUUUGCCAUCCUGUCUCUCAGUGAUGUUUACUUUGCCAUUAGAUUCAUGCAAGUCAUUCUCAAGAUGUUGGGCACGUCAAAGGGCUUUUCCUUCUAUUUGGGCUAGUCAUGCUUCUGAGAUAGGUUGGACUCUGAACAAUAAUGUGAACUCAGUUCCUAGGUUCAGUUGAUUGUUCAGGUGCUCUUCCAGCCAUUUUCUUUAACUGCCAAAGAACAGUAUUAAUCAACAUCCAUUGCUGUUAUAAUAGAUGAACAUAAUGCCAAAUCUUAAAAGAAAGCAUCUCGAUGAUAAUUGUAUUUAAUCAUUCUGUUCUUAGCUCAAGUCAUUUACACUGACAAUCUAAUGGAACCAAUCUAAUGGCAUUUAAGAACCAUUUAAUAAUAGUAUCAUUUUUACCAUCACCAACAAGCACCGGAUUGCGAAGGUUGAAGCCAGGACCUUAGCUUAUGUGUAAAUAAACCAGUUUGUAUGCAAAAAAAUUCAAUAAAGCGCAUAGGAUAUAAAUCAGUGCCAUCUAAACUUUUGCAUUGGCUUAUUCUGGUCGAUCUGUACAUACACACAAGCAUCUCUUUAUUCUAUUGGUAUUAGGUUUUAUAAAUUGAAUAAUAAUAUAAAAUAAAGAAAGUUCAUGGUAAAAGAGAAAAUAAAGUGAAAAACAUGAAAAGGAAUCGAAGAAAGCACAUUUCAAGCAUAUCAUUUCUUAACCCAUUUCAAGCAUCUUAUACUAAAAGGAAACAAACAGUAGCAUAAAGCUUAAAACCACAUCAAUUAACCAACGUAGCAGAUUUUCAAGCUUAAUUCAAGUUGUAAUUAAAUCAGAUAUGACUAAUUUCCAUAUGAAAAUGACAUAUUAAUUUCCUUCCACUAAAACAUGCUGAUAAUUAUUGAAUUUCGUUGUCAAAGAGUCAAGUGAUUGAGCUCAUCCCAUUAUCACCACUAUGUCAUUACAAAUACGACAGUUCUUCUACAAAAAGUGUACCAUUAAAAAAUACCAAGCAUCAUUUAAAAUGCAGAAACAUUGGUAUAUAUAUCAGUUGAAAUUAUCAUCUAUGUUCUUUGAUUUUGUUCAAAUGAGAUGUCAAAAAGAUUUUUUAGAAGUUGAAAAUGCGUAGGUUCAUCGAAAAGAUGAGGGCAGCAUUGCUCCAAACAAUAUAUAUUUAAAAAAAAAAAACACAUCUGAUGAUACGGAUCAUGCUGAUUAACAUGGAUUAUAUCAUGAAAAUGAAAAAUUGAGUUGCCAAAUCAAAUGGAAAAGCAAAGUCAAGUCGUUGAUAUAAAUUUUAAAACUUAUCUCAAUGAAAGAGACAGGAAUCUUAUUAGACUGUUAGAAGAGAAAAGAGGUUUGGUUCAUCCCCAUCCAAUCAGCCCAAAAAGAGACAUUAACGAGAGAAAUUAAAAUAUUAGACGAGAGAAUUGCAGGGUUUCUCUUUGCUCAAUCCACUUUCUGCUGGAACCAACUACACAGUAAAAAUUGGAGCUAUGCUAGAAAAAAAAAACGGUUGAACAGCUUUACCUUUCAAUGUAAGAAGCAUCUCAUAAACUGGCCGAUAACAGAUAAAGACAAACCCUGGCUCCUUAAAAAAAAAAAAAAAAAACACUCAAAGGAAAAACUUACAGAUCCAAGCGUGGUUCACAAACCCAGACAACGCCACUGCCGCAGAUAUCGGCCAACAGAGAGAGGAAGUCAACCUGGGAUUUUUUGGGGUUGGCAGAAAGAGGAAAGUAGGCGCCGUACACCGGAGUCGGGAGUCGGGGCUUUGGAAUGAAAUUGAGAAACAAAGAACAAACGAAAAAUGGAGGGUUUUUUAGAUUAAUAGCAUUAAAAAGGAUUUGGUACAAGAGAGAAUCCCAAUAUUUUUUCUCGAAAUUUUAUUAUUGAAUAUUUGAUUUCAAUGUUUAAUUUUAAUAUUUGAUUCAAGAUAAUUUAAUUAUUAAAGAAAGUAAUAUAUUACCAACAGUUUUUAAAAUUUGCAAAUAAAAAAUUUACUUUUCGAUGG
rnacentral:lncRNA from 1 species